GUGAUUUCUUAAAUAUAUACAAUCUGUGUCUAGCUUUUUAAAAAUGCUUAAUUUUUGUCAGUGAGAGCUAACAGACCUGGUGAUUUGAUAUAUACACACACACACAAUAUACUGAAACAAUUUUGAAUAUGCAAAUUACCAAGUCAUGUAACAACCACAGCCAUAUAAAGUUGCAGUGGAACAUAAUGUAUCAGCACAUCAUUGUGAGAUUAUUUGGCCUUUCAUAACGUAUGUAGCAGCUCUUUUUGGUGCAAAAUUUUCAUACAUUCAGAUAAUAAAAAGGAGUUUAUAUUGAGGAUUUAUAACUUACAAAAUAUGUAUAUAGUUAGGUUUAACGUUUUUAGAGCAGAUGUUGCAUUAUCUACAAGUUUACAAAUUAACUGGCAAAAAUGUAUAGAAUCCUUGGCUUGUUUUAACUUUUGUGCCAUAUUAGCCAAUUUAUUUUAAUAGUUAUAUCCAAAUAUUUUGGGAAUUAAGAAAUACAAAUGAACAAUAAUACUGGUGACUUCAGAAAUGAUUUUUGUAAAUAAUAUUAUGUCAAAACGUGUAUGUGUGUGUGUAUAUAUACACGUGGUAGAAUGAUCAUAUCAUUCUUAUGCAUCUGUAUUAGUUCAGAAAUAAAUUCUUUCUAAAUCAGUUCCUAAACAUUAAAAGAUUACAUGUGAAAUGUUGUAAUUUCCAUUUGAAGAUUUUCUGUUUAGUUAUAAAACCUAUAAUUUUUAAAACUGAUGAAAGUACAUUCUGUAGUGAAAAUUAAAUCUGUCACACUAGUUCUAACUACUUUUUUUUUUAGGUUUCAAGUGCCUGUAUUAAUUCAGCUUUAAUAUCAAUAACAAGGACCAACAACGAUACUAGUGUGUGGUUUCGGGAACAAUGUUUGCAUCACUCUUCAUUAGCGAAAUAUGGAUGGAGUCCAAUAUGCCACUAGAAAUCCACCUACAGAAAUGGAAGCCAGUGAAAUCCUCAUUAUGCCACAAGUAAUGUCUAAACACACUUUGACAGAAGAUAGACUGUUGGAUUUUGCUUGAUUAAGUUUCCCUACAGUACUCUUAUCUUUAUUCACACAAUAUGCCUCGAAAUAUUUUCUAAUAACUAAUCAAUUUAUUGAGCAAAAACAAAACGUAUAAAGAUAAUUUUCUCGAAAUAACGAAAAUCCUAUCAAAAUGCUGAAUGGCAGUAACAAGAAAAUACAGGCAGGUGAUUUUUUUCUAUUUUCAAUUACUUUAUCUUUCAUUAACAAUAGCAAUCAAUAGAUAAUUCAUGUAAAAUACAAACAAAUUUUAGACACCAAUACCCUCUCUUUCCACAUCACAUUGGUAAAUUCUGAAAAUGUAUUAAUCCCAAUAAUUUAAAUACACAAAUGAAAUCAAAGCAAUAUUUAGAUUUCAUAUCUUUCACAAUGUAAAUUUGUUUAUGGAAUACAUUAAAGUGUGUUUUUGUGUGACAUA